AUGCCUCGGUUCACCUGCUUCCUGAUGUCCAAUUAUUUUUUGUUGUUGCUAUAUUCAACCUCAUCUCUGAAAGCCUACACCUUCCUGUGCUGUUGCUAUAUUCACGAGUUUGACAGGAGAAGGGACUGGAGGUAUACAGUAGGCAGAACAGUGGAACAAAACUCAGCUUCAAUUAAUCGACAUGGUGUUCGCAAAUGGAAAGUCGUUCCUGCUGCUACAGUUCAUUGGUUCAAGUCCGACACUGAGCUCACAAUGGACGUUGAGUUGGUGGACACAAUGGACAAUAAGCCCAUGAAGCUCCAGAAGUCCAGAUUUGGAUACGGUCUAAAAUGUAACUGA
rnacentral:rRNA from 1 species